UACGUAUGGGGCAAGCGUUGUCCGGAAUUAUUGGGCGUAAAGGGUAUGUAGGCGGUUAAUUAAGUCUGAAUUCAAAGGCUGUGGCUCAACCACAAUUCGGUUUAGAAACUGGUUAACUUGAGUAGAUGAGGGGAAAGUGGAAUUCCAUGUGUAGCGGUGAAAUGCGUAGAUAUAUGGAGGAACACCAGUGGCGAAGGCAACUUUCUGGAAUCUAACUGACGCUGAGAUACGAAGGCGUGGGGAGCAAACAGG
rnacentral:rRNA from 1 species